AUCUCUGCGGUUUGAUGCUUAUAA
rnacentral:siRNA from 1 species